GGCUCUCUGCUCCUCCUGUCUAAGUCAGGGGCAAAAACUGGGGUGUGAAAGCAGAUCCAGGAGAGGGGAAGGGGGCUGCAGGCCUAGCUAGGUCUCAGCUCUGUGAACUUCCCAUCCUCAGGGUUUGACAUUCUGCCUUCAGAGUGGGUUGGAACAAAUUAGGAACCCAGGAUCUGUUUUUGAUGGAUCCAUUUCUCAAGUCUAGAACCAGAUG
rnacentral:lncRNA from 1 species